UGAACCUAGGUUAUGAGAUGUAGUGGUAUUGAAUCUAGUGUGGUUAAACCAAGGUUGUGGAUUAUAGUGGUAGAAUAGCCACUAGGGUAUGUAUGAGUCGAAUCUAAAGAGGUUGACAAUAUAGGGUACAUGGUUAACCUUUGAGACUUGAAAAGUGGAUUCCGGAAUCACUAGAAUUGGUGGCUGCGAGUAUGUGUGGUUCUCCUCGCUCGGCAGCGGUUCAUAC
rnacentral:lncRNA from 1 species